GUGCUCACUUUACUUCGGCAACACAUAUACUAAAAUUGGAACAAUGCAGGAAAGAUUAGCAUGUCCUCUGUCCAAGGAUGACAUACUUAUCAGUGGGAAAAUUCUCUAUGAA